rnacentral:rRNA from 1 species
AUUGAACGCUGGCGGCAGGCCUAACACAUGCAAGUCGAACGAGUGGCGGACGGGUGAGUAAUGUCUGGGAAACUGCCCGAUGGAGGGGUCUAACUACUGGAACCGGUGGCUAAUACCGCAUACCAUCGGAUGUGCCCAGAUGGGAGUAGCUAGUGGGUGGGGUAACGGCUCACCUAGGCGACGAUCCCUAGCUGGUCUGAGAGGAUGACCGGCCACACUGGAACUGAGACACGGUCCAGACUCCUACGGGAGGCAGCAGUGGGGAAUAUUGCACAAUGGGCGCAAGCCUGAUGCAGCCAUGCCGCGUGUAUGAAGAAGGCCUUCGGGUUGUAAAGCACUGUCAGCGAGGAGGCGUUACUCGCAGAAGAAGCACCAGCUAACUCCGUGCCAGCAGCCGCGGUAAUUC